CUCUAUUGCAGGCCCCAGCCCACGACUUCUUUCGGCGCCAGAGAAUUACUGGGCGCUUGCUAGAAAUGACCCCCAGAGGCCACCGUAGCCCCCUCGUGCCUCGCUUAAUUUGGAUGCCUGGGUAGAUAACUCAAACUCGGAAGGCAUCUGAGGGUAUUUCAGGGUUGAUAGGGAUCUCAAAUGUCACCAGGGCUUUGACUGCCGGAUAAUUAGGCCCCAAGCGACGGCUGGCUACAUCUCCAGCCCCUUAGUCCCGUGGCAGCCCCGUCAUUUUCUCUCCUUGGUUGGAGAGACGGCUGCUGGCUGUGAUCUUCCCGCCAGAUCAGCGCCUUAUCAGAGCUGGACACGACUCCCUUCUGAAGGAACCCUGCGCAGACAGUGAUUAACCAAAGAGCAAGGAAAGGCAGUUCCAUGAAAGAAAAGUGGUAGCAGGUGAGAUCCUGGAUGAAGUCUUAAUGUGCAUAGAUAAUAUGAGAGUAACUUCUUUCAUCCAACGAUGGCCACAACGGAGCCCUGCACAAUUCUGGCCCCAUGCCUUCCCAGUGGGGCAGGCAGAUCAGCAACAAGCACCGUCUUCCAUUGAGUGUAACUCACCUUCAAUUGUAGGCUGCCCCCUUAUGUUACUUACCACUAAGAAAAAGAACACACAACUCCACCUAUUAAACUUUGCCUAUCAAUUGUGGAACGUGUCCUAAUUUCAGAAGUGGUUUUCAGAAAAAUAAUAAUGUGCAUCCAGGGAUGAUGCAUUGUAGCCAUGGAAUGUGUCGUAACUGGUAGAACAGGUGCUCAGGGAAGCACCAGAGGAGCGGCAGGUACUCUGCCUUGGAAGGGUCUGGUUCAAAGUCUUUCAGGAGGGUUCUGGGUCAGCUGAGAGGCGUUAGAACUCAGCCUGCUUGAGUUCCUUCCCUAGCCCUGCCGCUUACUGGUUGCAUGACCUAAGGCC
rnacentral:lncRNA from 1 species